ensembl:lncRNA
GUUUCUAAUUUAAUCCCUCUGUGGUCAGAGCACUUGGCCUACAGGACUUCAAACUUUUCAAAUGUAUUGAGGUGGGUUUUAUGGCCAGCAAAUGUGGUCUGUCUGAUGAGCAUACCAGCAUGUCACAAUUCUGUUGGUUUAUACCCACAAAGACCAUAUUACAAUUUUUGAACAGUUAUUGUUUAUGAAAACAAAGGUAAAGGGAAAAAGGCAAAAUAACUUCUUUUGCAUUGAUCGAAGUAUUUACAUUCCUGUUUUUCAUUGUUUUCUGAAAAUCUUGGAAUUCUGACUGGUAUCAAUUUUCCUCUGAAGAAAUUUCUUUUAGCAUUUCUUAGAGUGGCAAUUUGCUGGUGAACAAUCCUCUAAAUUUUCUUUUAAAUGAAACGUCUCUCUCUAUUUUGCCUUUGGAGGUGGGGUUACUGGGAAUUGAACCCAGGGCUCCAUACGUGCUAAGCACUUGCUGUGUCACUGAGCUGAACACCAGCCCACACAUUUAUUCUUAAGUGAUAGUUUCUCUGAGUUGACAGGUGGUUUUUUGUUUUUGAUGUUGUUUUGAUUUCAGGACUGUAAAAAUGUUGCUGUACUCUCUUUGGCUUUCCUUGGUUUUUAGAGAAAAGUCAGCUGACACUGGAUUGUUGUUCUUCUGUAUCAAGGUACAGGUUUGGGGCAUGUGCGUCUGUUCCUUGCUUCCAGGAGGCAUCUUGUUGCUGUUCCCCUACCUGGUAGAAGACAGAAUGAUAAAGGUGGCAAACACUGUGUUGUCACAGGGCAGAAGAGAUCGAUGGGGACAAACCCAGUGGACUCUUGUAAGGGUCCUCAUGUCAUCCCUGAGGGCUUCACCUUCGUGACUGAAUCACCUCCUAAAGGCUGCACCUCUUAACAUAAUCACACUGGCAAAUGCAUUUCCAACAGAAAGCCUGUUCGGGACACACUUGGACCACAGCGGCUUCCAGCAGAUGUGCCUUGACGUUGGCCUCCUUCUGUGAAAUAUGUCUCGUAUCUGCAGCUUUUGGUCUUUCGACCAAUUUGGGAAACUUUCAGUUGUUAUUCCUUCAAGCGUUUCUUUUCUGUUCUUUCUCCCCUCUUAUUCUGGUGUUCCAGUUACACAUAUAACUUACCAUUUGAUGUCAUCUCACAGCUCACUAAGGGUCUGGUUCUUUCCAGUCCUUGCCCCUCCCUCUCCCUCUCUGCUCCCCUCUUCACCUAGUGUAUUUCUGUGGAUCGAUCUUCACGUUUUCUUAUUCUUUCAUCCAUCACAGUCAUUCAGUUUUUAGUCUAGUAAGUGAAUUCUUAUUUACGAAAUUGUAUUUUUUUAAGUUUGGUUCUUUGUUUCUAUUUGUUUCCUCUUUGCUGUUUCUGUUUCCUUGUUCAGACUUUCAUUUCUCUGCUGGUGUUUGUAGUCCUUGAAAUCAUGGUUGUGCUCUUUCCCUGAGGGGAGUUAGAAGAGCAAAUUCAAAAUCCUUUUCUGUUAGGUCCAACAUCUGGUUCAUUAUAAGGUUGGGCUUGGUUGAAUUUUUUUCUGUUAAGAAUGUUUCCUAGUUUUUUUUUUUCCAUAUCGUGUAAUUUUGGAUUGUGUCCUGAGUAUUAUGAAAGUUAGUUUGUGGAGAUUCUGGAUUUUUCUUUUCUCUAAGGAGUCUUUUUCCUCUGUGUUAGCAGAUAUCAGUCUCCGCUCGACCUGAACGCACACUCUUUUUCUUGGAUGGAAGUCUCGGUUUGGAAUUUCUGUGGUUGCUGCUGUCUUCAGCUGAGCCAUUUUGUGUCUGCUCCAUGGUACUUGGGUCAGGGUUCAGUCAGAGACGUGGGAAGGCUGAGUUGGGAUCUUCUCUCUUUUCCCCUUGUAAGCGUCUCUUUCUCUUUUAAGUGUCCACUUUUCUGAUUUUUCAGAAAAAAUCAGGCUGCAGGUGUUUUUCGUGUCUGUCCCUGGUAUUGCCGUGUGCACCGAGUGCAGGCUUCUCUUGGCCUCCAGCUAAGACCUGGGCAUGGGGACUGACUGAGUUGUGACCCUCCUCUCCCUCCCGACAGCUCACGGUCUUCACUAGGAGCCAGUGAUGGUGAACCUUUUAGAGCUUUUGGUAAUAACACAUGGCCCACUGUGGCAUGCGUGCCACAGGUGGGGGACUGCAUAACUCUGUAAUCAUAAAACUCCCCUAGCCCCAACUGUAAAUGUGAGUAAAUAGAUAAAGAUGCUUGUUAGUUCCAGGACACUAGAUAAGAUCUGUAUCAGCCAUAAGGUCCCAAAGUAAAUUACUCAACUCUUUGUUCGAAACUGAUGUUCCGGACACCGCUAUCUAUAGAACAAUCUACAAACAUCUGCUGACCAUCAGUACGUGUCAGCUGACCACUAACCUUUGUUCCUCUUCUGUAAAUUUCGCCUGUUAACUUCCCCUGCAAAAAAGAGCCUUGGACUCUGGGCUAGUCGCCUCUCUAAGCUACUUUGCUUUGGGAGUGCAGUCUGGCCAGACUAAGGUCUGUUUUACUUUCCAACUUGUCCGGUGUGUUCCUUCCCAGGUGUUCUUCCCUGCAGUCAGCUCCUCAGAGCGUUUGGUAAGGCCCUCGGUCUUACACAGGUUCGCCACCUCUGCAAAGCCAUCUGCCCCUGCUGUUCCCCAGCGCUGCGGGUAGUUGCUUCUGUGUCCUGUUCAGAUUUUGUGGUUGUUCUGCAGGAGCUGAGUCCUCUGGGAGGGUCUUGGCUGUUACUUCCAGAAGUAGAAAUGUAGGGCUCCUAUUUGCCAGGGAAGAUGUUCCUAAACUUACAGUGGAGUCAUAUCCUGGUAAACCAAUAAUAAAUUGAAAAUGUCAUCAGUCAAAAAUGUAUCUAAUCCACCUGACCCACCGAACAGCAUAACUUAGCCACACAGUACACUGUAGAGUAUUGGUUGUUUCCCCGCAUGAUCAAAAAUUAUAGGAUAUUGUUACGAUUAUAUUCCUAACCUUAAAUGCUUUUUAUUAUUUAUAAAAGACAUGAAAUAAAAGAUUCAGUUAAAUAAAUUAGAAAAAUAAGAUAAUCUUUUUUUUUUUUGGUACCGGGAAUCAAACUCAGGGCCUUGUGCUUGCCAGACAGGCGCUGUGCUGCUGAGCUACAUCCCCAGCCCAGAAAAAUAAGAUAAUCUUAAGGAAAAUAGAAUAAGAAAAUGAUAAAAGGAAACAUAAAUGAAUUAGAGAUAACAGAGUAGAAUAAAACAUCAACUAGUCUCUGAAAAACAAUAAAGCAAACAACAGUUUUAAUCAAGAGAAAAAGAAUAUUUAUCUGAGCUAAAAUUACAAGUGAAAUAUGAAAUACAAAGACAGACAUGGGGAAUUUAAAAACUAAGACUCUGUAGAGCUCCAGCAGGAUAUAUGAAUGAAAUACAGGAUGUUUGCGGAAAAUAUUUAAUCAUCAGUAUCGUCAUAAGAGGGGCUGGAGUGUAGCUCAGGCAUAGAGCUCUACUUAGCAGUGCAAGGCCCUGGCUUCCAUCCCCAGCACCAGAGUUUUAAAAAAAUCCAGAUUUACUUUAAUACCAGUAAUAACUGAUAAUAACUGAAUAGACUAAUAUUCACAGAAGAAGCAUAGUUGCCUCCCCAAAAUGACUCUUUCCUUAGUUUUAUGAAUGUGUUCAGUUAAACUUCCAAUUCCUGGACCACAUCCAUGGUUCCCAGGCUGGGGAGUGGAAGAGGAAGAAAUCAGUUUUAAUAUUUGGAAAAACAGCUUAGUGAUGACAUCAAAUCCUGUCAGUGGUAGAAGAUAACAGAGAAGCGGGGAAUCUACAAACCAGUUUCACUGAAGACAAUAGAUGUGAAAACAUUAAUCACACUAAUAACGAAAUGAAUUGAGCAUUGUAUUAAAACAAUAGUUCAGCUGUCACUUUGAUCAAUAUGAUGAAUUAGAUUCUUUGAAGGACCCUCCAGGUUGAAACAGAACAAAAAGAGAAUCUGCCUAAAACGUAUUAUCUUAGUUGCAUUACUGGGCCUAUAGGAAUUGAGAAGCCUUUCAGGUAGGUUGGGAUUGGUGGGAGGUGGAUGCGGAAGUGGUAACACAGCAUUCAGGAAAGACUGGGUUGCUAUAGUGAUGGGGAGGGAGUCAACAUUAUUUCCUUAGCCCACAUUUAUGAAGUACCUGCCAUAUACUGGGCCCUGUUCUAGGGAAUGGAAAUAUAGCAGUGAAAAUCUUUUGAGUUCCUGCCCUCCCUGGGACCUUACAUGCUGAUACAGGGGAAAGGCGAUACAAUAAACUAGCAAAUAUCAUAAUAUUUUGGAUAUUAGUCUUAUGGAGAAAAAUUAAACGGGAGGAGAAGACAUGUUGAACAGGUGACGGUUUUAUAUGGGGUCAUUGAGGGGCGCCUCACUGAGCAGAGAUUGUGAGCCGACUUGGAGAUGCUGCAGCAAGCCAGGCAGAUGGGAAGGGAAGAAUUCCCAGUGGACUGCUUUGUAGAGAAUGCAGUGCUUUGUGUGCAGGCAGUGCAGGAGGAACAGCAAGGCCAGGAGCAAAUGAGGGAAAAGAAUGGUAAAUCAGAAAAAGGACAUGCAGUGACCUACCUGCUACUUCCAUAGGGUGAGCUAAUGGAGAUGUCCUGGGGACACUGACCCACACCUGUUAAGUCUUUGAGGGUGGUAUUAACUUCUCCAAAGGGUCCACCUUCAUUCAUUUUCUGUACACUGAGGAGAGGAGCAAAGUCUAGGGGUUUUAAGGUCGGUUGUGUUUGGAAUCCGAUUGUCACUGAUUCCAGAGAACCGAAAGACACCUGUCCCGGAUGGGUACACUGGACAGAGGCAGCUAGGCCUGGCCCAAACUCAACUCACCUACCACCUAUCCGGUGAGCCCAUGGACCUGCCCUGGGUCGUUGUCCAGUCCUGGGUAACAUCGUCAGGAUACACGUUCUUCGCUGCAGCUGAGACCUCACGUGGUUUCCCUGGCCUGGAGUAAAGACAGUUUUAGGGAGGAGAGUCAAUCUGAAAUCCCCAAAACCCUGCCUCCUCAGCCAAGAGAGUAAAGCAGAAGGGGUAGGACAUCCCAGGAAGAUGGCGAGGAUUAGUUAAAUCUGGAAAAGUUAAUCAGAAUAAAAAUAGGAAAGAUGGAGACCAGGAUGGACAUUGCUUUUCUUGUCCUGAGCUAGGCUUGGCUUAAAGACCAAGUUUAAGACGUGAGCCAGCAGGCUCCUGUCACUGUCUGCAGGCUUGUCAGUGGCCCUUGGGGUUCUUCUGCGGGUCACAGCCAUGUUGGGAGCCAUUAUCUGUCGGAGGGAUUUUAAGGAAGCUUGGCUUUAAGAAUAUUCAUCCUAAGGAUGGGCCUCACAGUUGUGUGAUUGACUGUCCUGAUGCAGCCUUAAAUGGCAUCAUCCAUCCCCCAAGAGCGGGGGAUGCCCCUAUCCACGUCUAGGAGUGAUUGGAACACACUACCUGACCAGUGACCUUGAGACUCUCGGUCCGGGUCCGUCCCAGAGUGACAUCGCAAACUCCUGAGACACCGCUGUGCUUCCAGACUCCAGGAAAAGGCCAUGCUUCUCAGACCGCAGUGGGGGCAGCUUAUAAACAGGCAUGAAUGGAGCACAGCCUGCUGAAGGAGCCUCACUGCCAAGACAAAGUGGGCAGAGUGUUGCUGUGUGACCCUGUCUUAGCCAGCUUUUUGUUACUGAGACACAGUACCCGACAGCCACAACUUUAAAAGGGGGCAGGUUUACUUGGGCUGUGGUCAGUGACCCUGAGGCACAAAUGGUGUGGCAGAAGGGCCUGGGUGGAGAAGGAGAGGAGAGAACCAAGAAGGGAGUCACGGAGGCAGGGCCACCCGUCCAGGUCACACCCUGGGGACCUGCCAGCACAUCAGGCAUGGUGUCCUGUGCUCCGAUCGCCUUCCCGAGCCCUGUCUUGGAGUGGGUCAGGCUGCGGGGAUGACAUCUAGAUGUAAACCAUGGCAUCUGUGAGGAAAUGUCUUCAGUGGGCUGGUGGCAUCUGACCGGACGAGGUAUAACGGCACCGAGUGCCCAUGCUGUUUGCCAUAUCCUGUUACUAAGGGCACCAAGCUGCAGGGCCCAGGCUGUCCCAGGGCAGUUUGCACUUACGGAAGUGGCUCCGGUUUACUCAAAAUUAAGUGGGCUGAGAGCCUGUGACAAAGAAUAACCAAUUGAAAACAACAGUAAAAAAUAAAGUUUCCGGCAAACUUUAUGUGCCUUUCAGCCAUUUUUUAAACUUCCCAUGUUUUCUUAUUUAAAGUAUGAGGAUGAAUGGAAAUAUUUAUGAAUCCUAGGGCAGUUUUCUAAAUUUGAUAUGUUUCUUAGAAUUUUUCCAGAUUAGGGAAUAUUUUCCCAAAUUUGUUUAAAUCACACUUAUUCUCCUUGGCUAACAAUGUUUCCAUGAAUUUUUAAUUUUCUUUUUGUUUCUGAGUAAAUUGCUGAAAGAAUAGUCAUCAAAAAUGAAUCUUUCAGAUCCCUAGAAUUUGUAUAGCUAACGAUGAUUUUACAUUUAAAUGAAAUUUCAAGUAGUUUUGGUUGUGUUUUUUUUGGUACUUUCUCAGUUAUUUUGCUUUCUACACUGACUUAAAUUCCUUUUCAGUUAGUAUUUCUGGCUUUAAUGGUAUUGCUUCACCAUUACCCCAGUCAGCGAGUCUGGUGUGCACACGCGUGUGCUGGACAGAGGGCCUUGGCUGUGCCAUGCGAUGUUUUCAGUGUCGCUAAGACCCUCACGCGGGUCACCAUGUUCCUGUGUCUGGCUCCUGGACGCCCACGGGAUCGUGUGGAAUGGCGUAGAAGACGG